rnacentral:rRNA from 1 species
CCUACGGGUGGCAGCAGUGAGGAAUAUUGGUCAAUGGACGAGAGUCUGAACCAGCCAAGUAGCGUGAAGGAUGACUGCCCUAUGGGUUGUAAACUUCUUUUAUAAAGGAAUAAAACGAGGCACGUGUGCCUUUUUGCAUGUACUUUAUGAAUAAGGAUCGGCUAACUCCGUACCAGCAGCCGCGGUAAUACGGAGGAUCCGAGCGUUAUCCGGAUUUAUUGGGUUUAAAGGGAGCGUAGAUGGGUUGUUAAGUCAGUUGUGAAAGUUUGCGGCUCAACCGUAAAAUUGCAAUUGAUACUGGCAGUCGUGAGUACAGUUGAGGUAAGCGGAAUUCGUGGUGUAGCGGUGAAAUGCUUAGAUAUCACGAAGAACCCCGAUUGCGAAGGCAGCUUACUAAACUGUGACUGACAUUGAUGCUCGAAAGUGUGGGUAUCAAACAGGAUUAGAUACCCUUGUAGUC